UUUCCGUAGGUGAACCUGCGGAAGGAUCAUUAAUGAUAGCUGAGUCCAGCGUUGCGCCGCGCGGUUUUGCCAGGCUGGUCGAGGAUCUUCCUCCCACAAAAAGGCCUGGCAGGCUCCGGUUACGCCUCUCACAUUCAAACCCUUGACUACAUUACCAUUGUUGCUUUGGCGGGCCGCGAUUUUCGCGUUGGCCUUGGCUAACUGUGCCCGCCAGAGGACCCAAACUCUUUUGUUUAGUGAUGUCUGAGUACUAUCUAAUAGUUAAAACUUUCAACAACGGAUCUCUUGGUUCUGGCAUCGAUGAAGAACGCAGC
rnacentral:misc_RNA from 1 species